rnacentral:rRNA from 1 species
UACAGAGGGUGCGAGCGUUGUCCGGAAUCACUGGGCGUAAAGGGCGCGUAGGUGGCGACCCAAGUCGAUGGUGAAAGCUCGUCGCUCAACGACGAGUCGGCCACCGAUACUGGGUUGCUCGAGCACUGUAGAGGCAGAUGGAAUUCCGGGUGUAGCGGUGGAAUGCGUAGAGAUCCGGAAGAACACCGGUGGCGAAGGCGGUCUGCUGGGCAGAGC